CAUGGCGGAGCUACCAUGCAGUCGAACGGUAGCACAGAGAGCUUGGUCUCUUGUGACGAGUGUGGGACGGGUGAGUAAUGUGUGGGAAACUGCGCCAUGGAGGGGGAUAUAUACUGGGAACGGUGUCUAAUACCGCAUAAUGUCUCAAGAGCAAAGAGGGGGAGCUUCUGGGCUCUUGCGCUCUCAUGUGCCCCCAUGGGAUUAUCUUGUGUGUGGGGUAACGGCUCUCCUAUGCGACAAUCCCUAUCUGGGCUGAGAGGAUGACCACCCACACUGGAACUGAGACACGGUCCCCACUCCUACGGGAGGCGCCACUGGGGAAUAUUGUGCAAUGGGCGCAAGCCUGAUGCACCCCUGCCCCGUGUGUGAAAAAAGCCUUCUGGUUGUAAAGUACUUUCUCCGAGGAGAAAAGUGUUGUGGUUAAUAACCCCACCAAUUGACAUUACUCUCACAAAAAACACCGGCUAACUCCCUGCCACCACCCGCGGUAAUACAGAGGGUGCGAGCGUUAAUCUCAAUUACUGGGCGUAAAGCGCACACACGCGGUCUGUCAAGUCUGAUGUGAAAUCCCCGGGCUCAACCUGGGAACUGCGUCUCAAACUGUGACGCUAUAGUCUUGUGUAGAGGGGUAUAAUUCUCCGUGUAUCGCUGAAAUGCGUAUAGAUCUCGAGGAAAACCGGUGGCGAAAGCGGCGCCCUGUACAAAGACAGAGACUCACGUGCGCAAGCGUGUGGAGCAAACACGAUUAUAUACACUGGGAGUCUACACCGUAUACAAUGUCUACUUGUAGGUUGUGCGCUUGAGACGUGUCUUCCCGAGCUAACACGUUAUAUCUACAGCCUGGGGAGUACACCGGCAAGGUGAUAACUCUCAUGAGUUGUCACGGGGCGCCCACAAAGCUGGAGCAUGUGGUUUUAAUUCUAUGCACGCGCAGAACCUUACAUACUACUCGUCAUCCCCAGAACUUUAUAGCAGAUGCUUUUGUGUCUUCUGGAACACUGAGACAGUGCUGCAAGGCUGUCUUCACAUCUUGUUGUUGAAAAGUUUGGGUUAAAAUCCCCGAACAAGAGCAACCCCUUUAUACCUCUUUUUUGUCCGCGGUCUGCGCGGGAACUUCUAAGGAGAACUGUCAAUGAUAAACUCUGAGGAAAGGUGGGAUACGUCAGUCUCAUCUGGUCUACAAUAGGCUACAACGUGCUCAAAGGCUAUCAAGGAUAGAAGGACCC
rnacentral:rRNA from 1 species